rnacentral:rRNA from 1 species
AACGAACGCUGGCGGCAUGCCUAACACAUGCAAGUCGAACGAGACCUUCGGGUCUAGUGGCGCACGGGUGCGUAACGCGUGGGAACCUGCCCUUAGGUUCGGAAUAACUCCCCGAAAGGGGUGCUAAUACCGGUUAAUGUCUUCGGACCAAAGAUUUAUCGCCUUUGGAUGGGCCCGCGUUGGAUUAGCUAGUUGGUAGGGUAAAAGCAUACCAAGGCGACGAUCCAUAGCUGGUCUGAGAGGAUGAUCAGCCACACUGGGACUGAGACACGGCCCAGACUACUACGGGAGGGAGCAGUGGGGAAUAUUGGAAAAUGGGCGAAAGCCUGAUCCAGCAAUGACGCGUGAGUGAUGAAGGCCUUAGGGUUGUAAAGCUCUUUUACACGGGAUGAUAAUGACAGUACCGGGAGAAUAAGCUCCGGCUAACUACGUG